rnacentral:rRNA from 1 species
AUUGAACGCUGGCGGCAGGCUUAACACAUGCAAGUCGAGCGAGCGGCGGACGGGUGAGUAAUGUCUGGGAAACUGCCUGAUGGAGGGGGAUAACUACUGGAAACGGUAGCUAAUACCGCAUACCAUCAGAUGUGCGCAGAUGGGAUUAGCUAGUGGGUGGGGUAAGGGCUCACCUAGGCGACGAUCCCUAGCUGGUCUGAGAGGAGGACCAGGCACACCGGAACGGAGACACGGUCCAGACCCCUACGGGAGGCAGCAGUGGGGAAUAUUGUACAAGUGGCGCAAGCCUGAUGCGACCCUGCCGCGUGUGUGAAAGAGGCCUUCGUGUUGUAAAGGACUUUCAGCGAGGAGGCGUUACUCGCAGAAGAAGCACCGGCUAACUCCGUGCCAGCAGCCGCGGUAAUUC